rnacentral:rRNA from 1 species
UACGAAGGGGGCUAGCGUUGUCCGGAAUUACUGGGCGUAAAGCGCACGUAGGCGGAUAUUUAAGUCAGGGGUGAAAUCCCGGGGCUCAACCCCGGAACUGCCUUUGAUACUGGGUAUCUCGAGUCCGGGAGAGGUGAGUGGAAUUCCGAGUGUAGAGGUGAAAUUCGUAGAUAUUCGGAGGAACACCAGUGGCGAAGGCGGCUCACUGGCUCGGUACUGACGCUGAGGUGCGAAAGCGUGGGGAGCAAACAGG